GAUGAACGCUGGCGGCGUGCCUAAUACAUGCAAGUCGAGCGAACGGACGAGAAGCUUGCUUCUCUGAUGUUAGCGGCGGACGGGUGAGUAACACGUGGAUAACCUACCUAUAAGACUGGGAUAAAUUCGGGAAACCGGAGCUAAUACCGGAUAAUAUUUUGAACCGCAUGGUUCAAAAGUGAAAGACGGUCUUGCUGUCACUUAUAGAUGGAUCCGCGCUGCAUUAGCUAGUUGGUAAGGUAACGGCUUACCAAGGCAACGAUGCAUAGCCGACCGGAGAGGGUGAUCGGCCACACUGGAACUGAGAAACGGUCCAGACUCCUACGGGAGGCAGCAGUAGGGAAUCUUCCGCAAUGGGCGAAAGCCUGACGGAGCAACGCCGCGUGAGUGAUGAAGGUCUUCGGAUCGUAAAACUCUGUUAUUAGGGAAGAACAUAUGUGUAAGUAACUGUGCACAUCUUGACGGUACCUAAUCAGAAAGCCACGGCUAACUACGUG
rnacentral:rRNA from 1 species